rnacentral:misc_RNA from 1 species
GAUGAAGAACGUAGCGAAAUGCGAUAAGUAAUGUGAAUUGCAGAAUUCAGUGAAUCAUCGAAUCUUUGAACGCACAUUGCGCCCGUCAGUAUUCUGGCGGGCAUGCCUGUUCGAGCGUCAUUACGCCCCUCAAGUCCCCUGUGGACUUGGUGUUGGGGAUCGGCGAGGCUGGUUUUCCAGCACAGCCGUCCCUUAAAUUAAUUGGCGGUCUCGCCGUGGCCCUCCUCUGCGCAGUAGUAAAACACUCGCAACAGGAGCCCGGCGCGGUCCACUGCCGUGAAACCCCCCAACUUUUUAUAGUUGACCUCGAAUCAGGUAGGACUACCCGCUGAACUUAAGCAUAUCAAUAAGCGGAGGA